CCUACGGGAGGCAGCAGUGAGGAAUAUUGGUCAAUGGACGAGAGUCUGAACCAGCCAAGUAGCGUGAAGGAUGACUGCCCUAUGGGUUGUAAACUUCUUUUAUAUGGGAAUAAAAUGUUCCACGUGUGGGAUUUUGUAUGUACCAUAUGAAUAAGGAUCGGCUAACUCCGUGCCAGCAGCCGCGGUAAUACGGAGGAUCCGAGCGUUAUCCGGAUUUAUUGGGUUUAAAGGGAGCGUAGGUGGAUUGUUAAGUCAGUUGUGAAAGUUUGCGGCUCAACCGUAAAAUUGCAGUUGAAACUGGCAGUCUUGAGUACAGUAGAGGUGGGCGGAAUUCGUGGUGUAGCGGUGAAAUGCUUAGAUAGCACGAAGAACUCCGAUUGCGAAGGCAGUUCACUGGACUGCAACUGACACUGAGGCUCGAAAGUGUGGGUAUCAAACAGGAUUAGAUACCCCGUUAGUC
rnacentral:rRNA from 1 species